rnacentral:rRNA from 1 species
AUUGAACGCUGGCGGAAUGCUUUACACAUGCAAGUCGAACGGCAGCACAGGAGAGCUUGCUCUCUGGGUGGCGAGUGGCGGACGGGUGAGGAAUACAUCGGAAUCUACCUUUUCGUGGGGGAUAACGUAGGGAAACUUACGCUAAUACCGCAUACGACCUACGGGUGAAAGUGGGGGACCGCAAGGCCUCACGCGAUUAG